GCCCAUAUAGCUCAGUCGGUAGAGCUUCAGAUAUUCAAUCUGAGGGUCCAGGGUUCAAGUCCCCGUACGGGCG